AUUAAGAAGAAAAAAAACUUAUAGGGACAGGGGGAGUCACGUUGUGUUCAUUUUGUGAUUGUUGCGGUUUACACCCUUACCGUUCACUUGUAUUUAUAUGGCUGAAGAUGGGCGAGAAGUUUAAUAAACAACAAUGACUUGUUAAAGAAAAUUUUACAUUCAGAUGUUCAGAAAAAAUUACGAAGGAAACAGCGUAAACUCCCUCAACAUUUGAUCAGCAAAGAUGACAUUACCAGAAUAAUGGAUGCUUUGCAAGAUGCUAUUCUAUAAGAAAAUUUAAGCUGAGAAGAAAGGAUAAUGAGACACUGGCUAGCCAAUUUGAAGCCAUGUUGCUACCAGAAAUACGCACUUAACUAUAUUGUAUCCCCUACCACAGUUCGUGGAGAGGCUCACGAAAGUGCACUGUCGUGAGCAGGUAUUGUCAAAUCUGAUAAGAACAUUUGGUAUCCAUCGUGGGACAAGGAAAAAGUUUUCCUUUGAUCACAUCAUCAUCAUCAUCAAUGGCGACAAACGACAACAACACCUCCACAUGCAACCUAAAUAGUACCACCACUAGGGCAUGCAACCAACUUGUUUGGCAUGCUCGCCAUAGGAACCCCUGAAAAUGGGAGCCCAACAAUAGUACUGAAGAUACCAUGUCAGGUGUAUGACAAUCAUUCCUUGAUCAUCACCCUGUAAAGGGAGAUGAAUGCCAUGAAACAACAAAAUGCCCAAGAGAUGGAGGACCUCCGAAGGGAGAACAUUGCCCUUAGAGAACAGUACCAGAAGAUCCAAGAGGAUAACAACUUGUCAUCAUGGAAACCGAUGAAGUCGACACGAUGUGGAGGGAACAAACUCUAUCGAUCACUUAAUAGGUCCAUAGAGUGGAGAAUUAGUUCCAUCCUUUCAUUGAUGUCAUCAUGGAAACACCGCUACCACUCGGGUGGAAGAUGUUAACGAUAAAAAGAUACGAUAGAAUCUCGAACCCAGAUGAACAUGUAGAUCCAUUCAUCACCUAGAUGAACCUAUUCACUAAUGACAAUGUCAUCAUGUGUUGAGUAUUCCCGACAACCCUAAGGGGAGCAACACUUCAUUGGUACACUCGUCUACCAAGAAAUUUAAUCAGACUAAACUCAUUUUAGCUCAUUGAUCAAAAGAUCGAAACACGCAGACAAGUUAAAUAAACAUUGUUACGCGUAGUUGGCUUAGACCACAGAUAACUUAGCUAAAGUUUUGGCUAUGAAAAGGACCAAAAGAUCGAGUUACUUGGCUAAA